AACGAACGCUGGCGGCAGGCUUAACACAUGCAAGUCGAACGCAUCCUUCGGGGUGAGUGGCAGACGGGUGAGUAACGCGUGGGAACGUGCCCUUCAGUUCGGGAUAACCCAGGGAAACUUGGGCUAAUACCGGAUACGUGCGAGAGCAGAAAGAUUUAUCGCUGAAGGAUCGGCCCGCGUCUGAUUAGCUAGUUGGUGGGGUAAUGGCCCACCAAGGCGACGAUCAGUAGCUGGUCUGAGAGGAGGAUCAGCCACAUUGGGACUGGGACACGGCCCAAACUCCUCCGGGAGGCAGCAGUGGGGAAGAUUGGACAAUGGGCGCAAGCCUGAUCCAGCCAUGCCGCGUGAGUGAUGAAGGCCUUAGGGUUGUAAAGCUCUUUCGUCCGGGACGAUAAUGACGGUACCGGAAGAAGAAGCCCCGGCUAACUUCGUGCCAGCCGCCGCCGUAA
rnacentral:rRNA from 1 species